GUUGCCUAUCUCUUAGGAAAAGGUCCAGACCUCCUCCCCUAUAAAUAUAAAGGGGUACGGCCGAUUGAGAACCCCCGAACACAUUCCAAUCGAACCAAUUACCUUAUUUACUUUUCCUGCCCUAGGAGUAGAUGUAGCAUAGUUCUAGUUGUAGCCUUCCGCAUAUCCACCUCCACCCCUAGUCGACUCUACGUCGUCUAGAUCCGUCUUGGGUGGCCUGCCGAUCCCAAGACGACCCUAGGAUCUCACCCAUCCCGGGGGGCAAGAUCUAGUUGUCCAUCCAAGACCUCUUCCUCGAUUUGAUCUCUUAAUUCCUAGGCGACUCCACAUCGUCUGGGGACGCCCCGGGUGACCUGUCGACCCGGGGCACCUUAAGAUCUUUUCCCCCAGGGGACAAGAU
rnacentral:lncRNA from 1 species